UUUUCUAUUGGUAUUUGUUCAAUGUGAAAAUGGGGUGGAGAAAGAGAGAUAGAGGCCACCCUCCAAUGGUGGCCUAAAUACAUAUCCUAACCGAAGUCAAACAAAAUGAUGGAAGAAGAGAAAUGUUGUGCCAAUGGAAGGGGUGGAGAGGUUUGAAUACUAUUGUUAAACUCUACUCUUAUUAUGUAUGUUUCAACCACCAUUUUUAUUUUCCUCUUUUUUUUUGUGGACAUUGAUUGAGAGUGUGGUGUCAAUUGAGAUGAUGAACACAUCUUACACUUUGACGAUGAACUCUAUAUUUAACAAUUUUGAUUUCUGUAUUGAAGAGUGCUAGGUUUCUUGAAAAUAUGGAAAUAUGGAAAUAAAGCCAUAUGGAAAUAUGGAAAUAAGGCAUUAGAUAGAUCAAAGUACCAAGAGAAGGUGCAAACAAUAUGGAAAUAAAGCCACAUUGAAAAUGCAAAUCAUCAAAAAAAUAGAGGAAAAAAAAUGCAAAUCUUUAGAGCUUUCCCUGGUAUCGGAAGUAUUAGAUACAAAAAGUUUUUAUCCUAUUUCUUGACCUAUGGCUGGAAGAAACAUAGAAACUCUCCUCUCCUAUCACUGCCUGACUGGUCCUCUCUUGAAAAACCCAGUUUCAGAAUAUGAUAAAGCAAUCAACAAGCUACAAAUGAAAUACAGAACAUACAUCGUCGAGUAUGACUUCGAAACUAAGAACCUGAAGAUGUGUGUGCGGGUUGCUCACAUUUGGUUAAUUCCAGAGAAGAAAGUUCCAACUAACAUCAUUUUCAUGAACAUGUUGCUGGUUGAUGCAA